CAAUUGCCAUAACUCCGAGCUUGGCGCACUAAGUGCUUGACGGAGGCUCUCAAGGAGGGACCUCUACGUUGGGGAUACGUGAGCCUGGCCAGUGACAGAUGUCACCAGGGUCGGUAAAGAAAUGCAUCGGCCUCCCGUACUUGGAAAGGUGUUCCGUGGCGAAACAA
rnacentral:ncRNA from 1 species